UAGGGAAUAUUGGUCAAUGGGUGAGAGCCUGAACCAGCCAUGCCGCGUGCAGGAAGAAGGCCUUCUGGGUUGUAAACUGCUUUUUGCCGGGGGAUAAAAUGGCUUUGCGAAGCUAAUUGAAGGUACCCGGUGAAUAAGCCACGGCUAACUACGUGCCAGCAGCCGCGGUAAUACGUAGGUGGCAAGCGUUGUCCGGAUUUAUUGGGUUUAAAGGGUGCGUAGGCGGUUCUUUAAGUCAGUGGUGAAAUACAGCCGCUUAACGGUUGAGGUGCCAUUGAUACUGAAGAACUUGAGUACAGACGAGGUAGGCGGAAUUGACGGUGUAGCGGUGAAAUGCUUAGAUAUCGUCAAGAACACCGAUAGCGAAGGCAGCUUACUAGACUGUAACUGACGCUGAGGCACGAAAGUGUGGGGAUCAAACAGGAUUAGAUACCCUUGUAGUCCCUGAGCGGGCUGGCAAGGCGCAU
rnacentral:rRNA from 1 species